rnacentral:rRNA from 1 species
UACGUAGGGGGCAAGCGUUAUCCGGAAUUACUGGGUGUAAAGGGUGCGUAGGCGGUAAAGUAAGUUAGGUGUGAAAGCCCGGGGCUCAACCUCGGGACUGCACUUAAAACUGCAUUACUAGAAUACAGGAGAGGUAAGUGGAAUUCCUAGUGUAGCGGUGAAAUGCGUAGAUAUUAGGAGGAACACCAGUGGCGAAGGCGACUUACUGGACUGUGAUUGACGCUGAGGCACGAAAGCGUGGGGAGCGAACAGG